rnacentral:rRNA from 1 species
GUAGAGAAUAUUGGGCAAUGGAUGCAAGUCUGACCCAGCCAUCCCGCGUGCCGGAAGAAGGCCCUCAGGGUUGUAAACGGCUUUUGACGGUGAAGAAUCGACAGGAUGCGUCCUGUUUUGACGGUAGCCGUUGAAUAAGCACCGGCUAACUCCGUGCCAGUAGCCGCGGUAAUACGGAGGGUGCGAGCGUUGUCCGGAUUUAUUGGGUUUAAAGGGUGCGUAGGCUGGAAGGUCAGUCAGCGGUGAAAAGCUGUCGCUUAACGAUAGUCUUGCCGCAGAUACUUCCUUUCUUGGAUGAGGAGGAGGCCACUGGAACGGAUGGUGUAGCGGUGAAAUGCAUAGAUAUCAUCCAGAACACCGAUUGCGAAGGCAGGUGGCUGUACCUUAAUCGACGCUGAUGCACGAAAGCAUGGGGAGCAAACAGGAUUAGAUACCCCGGUAGUCC